rnacentral:rRNA from 1 species
GAUGAACGCUGGCGGCGUGCCUAAUACAUGCAAGGCGAGCGAACAGACGAGGAGCUUGCUCCUCUGACGUUAGCGGCGGACGGGUGAGUAACACGUGGAUAACCUACCUAUAAGACUGGGAUAACUUCGGGAAACCGGAGCUAAUACCGGAUAAUAUAUUGAACCGCAUGGUUCAAUAGUGAAAGACGGUUUUGCUGUCACUUAUAGAUGGAUCCGCGCCGCAUUAGCUAGUUGGUAAGGUAACGGCUUACCAAGGCGACGAUGCGUAGCCGACCUGAGAGGGUGAUCGGCCACACUGGAACUGAGACACGGUCCAGACUCCUACGGGAGGCAGCAGUAGGGAAUCUUCCGCAAUGGGCGAAAGCCUGACGGAGCAACGCCGCGUGAGUGAUGAAGGUCUUCGGAUCGUAAAACUCUGUUAUUAGGGAAGAACAAAUGUGUAAGUAACUAUGCACGUCUUGACGGUACCUAAUCAGAAAGCCACGGCUAACUACGUG